rnacentral:rRNA from 1 species
UACAUGGGGUGCAAACGUUGCUCGGAAUUAUUGGGCGUAAAGCGCACGUAGGCGUUUUGUUAAGUCGGAUGUGAAAUCCCUCGGCUCAACUGAGGAAGUGCAUCCGAAACUGGCAGGCUUGAGUACUAAAGAGGGUCGCGGAAUUCCCGGUGUAGAGGUGAAAUUCGUAGAUAUCGGGAGGAACACCGGUGGCGAAGGCGGCGACCUGGGUAGAUACUGACGCUGAGGUGCGAAAGCGUGGGGAGCAAACAGG